rnacentral:miRNA from 1 species
CACCUUGAUUUUGGACUUCUAGCC